CACGUAGGGUGCGAGCGUUGUCCGGAAUUAUUGGGCGUAAAGAGCUCGUAGGCGGUGUGUCGCGUCGGCCGUGAAAACCUGGGGCUUAACUCUGGGCGUGCGGUCGAUACGGGCAUCACUGGAGUUCGGCAGGGGAGACUGGAAUUCCUGGUGUAGCGGUGAAAUGCGCAGAUAUCAGGAGGAACACCGGUGGCGAAGGCGGAUCUCUGGGCCUUACCUGACGCUGAGGCGCGAAAGCUAGGGGAGCGAACAGG
rnacentral:rRNA from 1 species